GCUCUGUGAUGAACCCAUGCGUGUCAUCUGAGCCUGGCUUCCUGUGGUCUCAGCUCAGGUAGUGUUCUACUUCCCAGGGCUGUUUGGCCUGGCAGGGGGUUCUGGGCAAAGGAUCAGUCCCUCUCUUCUGAGAGC